rnacentral:rRNA from 1 species
GACGAACGCUGGCGGCGUGCCUACUACAUGCAAGUCGAACGCAGUGGGGACGGGUGAGGAACACGUGGGUAACCUCCCAUAAGAGGGGAUAACACUUGGAAACAGGUGCUAAAACCGAUACUGAUGGAUGGACCCGCGGUGCAUUCGGUAGUUGGGGGGUUAAAGGCUCACUUAGGCGACGAUCGCUCGCUGGGUGCAGAGGAGGAUCAGCCACACUGUGACUGAGACACGGCCCAGACGCCUACGGGAGGCAGCAGUGGGGAAUAUUGCACAAUGGGCGCAAGCCUGAUGCAGCCAUGCCGCGUGUAUGAAUAAGGCCUUAGGGUUGUAAAGUACUUUCAGCGGGGAGGCGUUACCCGCAGAAGAAGCACCGGCUAAAUACGUGCCAGCAGCCGCGGUAAUUC